GUGCUUUAGGGGUGAAUGAGUCCCUCAGAUUUAAUUUCCAUCUUUCACUUUGUCAGUUGCCUUUUUGGUGGCAUACUGAUCAUAAUGAGGUGGAACAUGU
rfam:Corchorus capsularis cultivar CVL-1 contig12923, whole genome shotgun sequence.